rnacentral:tRNA from 1 species
GGAGAGGUGCCGGAGCGGUCGAACGGGGCGGUUUCGAAAACCGCUGUGCCCGUCAAGGGCACCGGGGGUUCGAAUCCCCCCCUCUCCGCCA